UAGGGCUGAACCUGUUCAUCAUCUCCGCUGUACUAAAGCUAAACUCGAUCUAUGCUUUCGAAAGCGUUCUUUCAUCGCCUUCCUAAAAAUCCGAGAGGCAAUAGUUACAGGUUCAUCCUCUUAAAUUCGUUGCUUAAAUCCAUCACUCACGAUCUCUCUUCAAUGCGAUCUUUAAUCCUGGGAGGCGGUGGAAUUACAACUAUAAAAAGACUGGUUGCUGCUCUUCCACCGUUCAAGUGCGGUUGCUCUGUUAUUGGGAGGCUAGAAACGUCCAACGCGGUGAAGAACUCAUGGGAGUCGAUAUGUUGCUACUUAAUUACCAGGUUGUAAAGAAAUAUGAAGAUGUGAAAGUGAUUGUAGCGGGGGAUGACGAUUCUACCAUUUAAGCUUUGAGGUAGUUGUGUAUGUCUUGAGUAUUUUUUUUUCAACUAUGUGCUGCCCAUGUUGCUGUUAGAAGCUACAGUUUGAGCACUGCUAGCUUUAAUUUGUUAAUUCACCUCCUUGAUGAUAUCACCAAAAGAGUUUCUUUGUUACACUUUGAUUUUAAGUUUUGAAUUGAAGUAUGCAAUGUAUUAGAAACUAUGGUUUCGUAUGUUUGUGCUUCCUAUGUUGCCAUUAGAAGCUACUGUUUUUUCCUCCAACAUUAUAUAUCUCUUGGUCUAUUUCACUUUCACAUAAGCGAUAAGUUUGGACACUGCUAAUUGUUAUUUGUUAACUCAUCUUUGAUGAUAUCACCCAGUCCCUAUCAUUACACUUUGAUUCUUAAGUUCUGAAUUGAAACAUGCACUGCAAGUGAAAGAAGAUCGAGCUCAUGUCAUUCACAAAAACUGUAGUAGAUGUGGUGCAGGAAGCAGACGCUUAUGGUGGCUAAAGCUGGGAGCAGCGACCGUCCUGCCAUUCCAGGCUUAAACAGCCCACCUUUCAUUCCAGGUUUCUAUGGUUCACAACUAAUUUAGAUUUUAGUAGUGAGCUAAGAUUGAUCAAUAUUUGAAGCUUUUUUAUGAACGCAUGGUGUGAUCAUCCAUGUGUCAUGCGAAGAAGCGUUACAAAAUACAAGGCUCUGUUUCCCGCAUUCGAUUUUCCAACUGUAAGAACAUCAUAUUGGUUAGAUCUGAUCAAUAUAUCUCUACUGAUAAUAAAUUGUUAGAAAGAUUCUUAUGCUUGCCUAUGUUGGAUUAGAUUGUAAUUGACGAUGAUAUUUUGUGAAAGCCGAGUCCAAGAGAGACCUCAGACUAAGUUGC